rnacentral:rRNA from 1 species
GGCUUCGGCCAUGAGUAGAGCGGCGAACGGGUGAGUAACACGUGGGGAACCUGUCCUGGAGUGGGGGAUAACUCGGGGAAACCUGGGCUAAUACCGCAUUCGAUGCGAGAUCGCAUGGUUUCGUAGGAAAGCUGGCCUAUGCUUGCAAGCCGGCGCUCCUGGAGGGUCCCGCGGCCGAUUAGCUUGUUGGUGGGGUAACGGCCCACCAAGGCGACGAUCGGUAGCUGGCCUGAGAGGGUGAUCAGCCACACUGGAACUGAGACACGGUCCAGACUCCUACGGGAGGCAGCAGUGGGGAAUAUUGGACAAUGGGCGAAAGCCUGAUCCAGCAACGCCGCGUGCGGGACGAAGGCCUUCGGGUCGUAAACCGCUGUCAGAUGGGACGAACGAGCAGUGGAUAAUACCCACUGUUCUUGACGGUACCUUCAGAGGAAGCCCCGGCUAACUCCGUGCCAGCAGCCGCGGUAAUACGGAGGGGGCGAGCGUUAUUCGGAAUUAUUGGGCGUAAAGGGCGCGUAGGCGGCUCGAUCAGUCCAAGGU